GACUUGUAACUCUUUAGCAGUGUUCUCUUUUAUUUCUUUAAGUAAGUUAUUAAAUUCCUUCUUCAUGUCCUCCCUCUACCAUCAUCAUGAGAUGUGCUUUUAAAUCCGGGUCUAGCUUUUCCGGUGUGUUGGGGUGCCCAGGACUGGGUGAGAUGGGAGUGCUGCAUUCUGAUGAUGAUUCUACUGAAUUAGUAAGUUGCAGUCUCUCCAAAUUCAGAAAGAAGCAAGAAUGAAAUGCUAGCAUAUAUCUGAAAAAAAGAAUACUUCAAAAUAGAUGGCAGUACUAAUGAAGAGCUCAACUAUACCAUAGAAUCCAGCAAGCUAUGAUCUAUCCCACUGAAGCUGUACUUUGACUGCAGUGACAUUCUGCUUAAACUCAGAAAUAUUGAGUCUCCCUCCCAGUACUAUCAUAAUGAACAAAGAAUUAAAGAAAUCCAGUAUCUCCAGUAAGGUCAAGUCCCAUAGAUUCAGGCAGGGGAGAAUAACAGAAUGUGACUGAUUCAGUUCCCAUGCAUGCAUUCCUGCAUCAGCAGCUCCCUCAGCUUCAACAUGUGAAGUCUCUGUGUAAAUAUAUAAUGGAGCAUAAAUUACAACUAGUACAGUACAAGCAUGAGAAGGGCAACUUGUCUCAUCUUUCUUUGAAAGCUGGAAUGUGAUUUCCAAUAAUAGAGGGUCUCCUACUGUUAUGAGAUAUCUGCAAGCAGUUGUCUACUCAAUGCAUUGACUGUCUUUUAAACUGUUAUUCAAGGCCAGGAGUUAAUUC
rnacentral:lncRNA from 1 species